CCAAACUUGGUCAUUUAGAGGAAGUAAAAGUCGUAACAAGGUUUCCGUAGGUGAACCUGCGGAAGGAUCAUUAACGAAACUCGGGCGUGGCCCGCGGGGAGGGAGCGGCUGUGCUGGCGGGGCCACCCGCACGUGCACGCCUCCUUCCGACCCCGGCCCGCUCAUCCACACACCGACACCUGUGAACACCGAUCUUCGUCGGGCGGGGCCCCUCGGCCUCCCCGGCGUCGACCUUCUCUCACAUCAUCCUUUGCAUGUCUUGUCGAAUGUACACUUGCGUAACCGCAACCGAAAUACAACUUUUAACAACGGAUCUCUUGGUUCUCGCAUCGAUGAAGAACGCAGC
rnacentral:misc_RNA from 1 species